rnacentral:rRNA from 1 species
CUUUUGAAUAUAAUUUAAGGUCUGGCCUGCCCAAUGAGUAGUUGAAUGGCCGCGGUAUUUUGACCGUGCAAAGGUAGCAUAAUAAUUAGUUUUUUAAUUGAAAGCUGGAAUGAAGGGUUUGAUGAGAAAAUGACUGUCUCUGUUUAAAUUAUUUAGAAUUUUAUUUUUAAGUAAAAAAGCUUAAAUAUUAAUAGAAGACGAGAAGACCCUAUAGAGUUUUAUUUACUUUUAUAAUAAAAAUUUUUAGAAUUUAGUAUUUUUAUUAUAAUAGGUAAAUUUGGUUGGGGUGAUUGAAAAAUUUAGUAAACUUUUUUUUAUUUAAACAUUGAUUUAUGGUUAUAUGAUCCUUAUAUAAAGAUUAUAAGAAAAAAUUACCUUAGGGAUAACAGCGUAAUUUUUUUAGAGAGUUCAAAUCGAAAAAAAAGAUUGCGACCUCGAUGUUGGAUUAAAAUAAAAUCUUGGUGUAGAAGCUAAG